rnacentral:rRNA from 1 species
UACGUAGGGUGCGAGCGUUAAUCGGAAUUACUGGGCGUAAAGCGUGCGCAGGCGGCGCGUUAAGACAGGUGUGAAAGCCCCGAGCUUAACUUGGGAAUUGCGUUUGUGACUGGCGAGCUGGAGUGUGGCAGAGGGAGGUGGAAUUCCACGUGUAGCAGUGAAAUGCGUAGAGAUGUGGAGGAACACCGAUGGCGAAGGCAGCCUCCUGGGCCAGCACUGACGCUCAUGCACGAAAGCGUGGGGAGCAAACAGG